GGUGUGCAGGGGAAGCAGUGUAUUUACAACCAGCAAAGUCAGUAUUGCCAGUUGCCAGAGCCAGAAGAUGGGUAUAGUAGAUGGAGUGCAAAAAGCAUUAAGUUGAAGGUCUUGUUCGAGUGGAAUCGCUAGUUUACAUAGGAUAGAGAGGCAAGGGAAGUCACCAUUGAGUUGCACAUAGGUCUUACUUAUAGAAAUAAGGGUUGACAACCUUGUAAGAAGUGGGUAAGAAACAUAAGCCUUCGCCAGGUAAGAUAGAAAAAGUAUCGGUGGUUGGAUAAGGCCUAUAACCCCUUCUUUUGAGUCCUGUGUUUUGGAGUGGUUAGUUGACCGGGGUGAGGUGGGCAAUGGAAGUAACCAAAACCAGAGCUUGACUUUAGGAGUGAAAGAGCGAGUAGGCAGGAACAGGGGCCUCAACUCGUGUGUUGAAGUUCAGAAUGGAAUUGCCUAGGAACAGCUUCAGAUCAAGGGUUUACCACGACUCCCUUAAGUAUACAAACUCGGGCAGCUCUAGUACAACAGUAGGCAAGGAUAGAACCCAGGAAUUCUAGAAUCAUAGGUGAAGUUAGCGGGCAUUAAUUAAGGGCAUUCGACUCCCAUUAUGUUAUUAAUAGCAGUCCAUAGCGCCAAGUCACCACUAUAAGAUUCAAGAGCUGUUUCCGUUCUCAAGUCAUCAGCGGGAGAAUCAUUAGAAUUCACUAGGUAUUAUAAAUGAAUUGGCAAGAAGAGAAGAGAAAACAGAGGAUCAGAAUUCUGGUAUCAAAUGAACUGGAGUGGGGAGUAGAGCAGGAGCCAUAGUUAGAUUAGCCUCAUUCCGUUAAUGCCAGCAGCUUGUUUCAAUAAGUAUUUGUUUACUACUUUUUCCUGCUGUGACUAAUUUGUUUCCUAGCCUAGGAUUGUUCACAAGGGGUUGGGUCGGGCCUUCAGAUAGAGUUAGUUCCGGUCUGUAAGGGAAGUUUAGUCUUCAAGGGAAGCAGUGAAGUUGCCAGUAGCCAUAGUUAUAGGAGAAGAAUGAAGUGAAGUUAAUAGUUUCCAGCUGUAUUCUGUAUUGAUUGUUUCAUGAAGUUACUAGGCUCGGGAAGCUAUUCAAGCUAUCCGGCAAGUAGACAAGACAGAGUUCAAAGAGACUAUUCGAGCAAGUCAGAAUGGAACGGCGUAGUCCAUAAGUAGGAAUUACGGAAUUAGUUGCCCUUAUAUUAAGUCCCAGACAGCAAGCAUCUUUCAAAGGUAUUACUAAAUAAACGGAAUAAGCACUAAGCAAUUGAAGCCCUAGAUGCAGUAGGCUAUGAACAGGGAGAGCUACAGAGUUAGGUUAGUAGUUUGGUGGAUCCGUAUAAGUCGAGAAAGAAGUCAGUGCGGUAGCUCGGGUCGCUAGUAGCUCAAUUCCCGUUGUGAGUUAAGUUAAGUGAAGUGUUGACACUGGCGGAAGUCUUGCUAGUGGUUCUUUUACUCCCAGUUUCGAGUAUAAGUUGGCGCACUAGUUCAUUCGUCGACUUACGAGUGUUUUUCUUCUUAAUAUAUGGUUUUUCUUCUUUUCUUUGUUUUGGAUGCGCUAUCCUCUUAUCGCUACUAUACUACGCCUAGUCUGAUAGUUCGUCAUCUAACACGAGAAGGCAGGAUUAGCGGAGUGAGAAGGCCCCCAGCCAAGGAAAGCAGACUCAAACGGGUGAGUGAACUUCUCCUUUUGGAGUCAAAGCCUUGUUAGACCGAGUUACAUCCUUACCAGUAGUUAGUAGAAUCUUAGAAACAGCAGUAUAUAAACUCACUAAUAGAAUUACCCUAAUAAAACAACUAUCAAAUAUGGUAUAUUAAACCAAAUUAGAAUGUAAGUUAAUUAAUGUUCAUUAUUAUUAUUAUUUAGCGGGUGAGGCGGGAAAGCGAGCCCGAGAGGCGGGAAAGAUAGACUUAGGGGAUCUUUUGAUAUCGUAAGAAUAAUGGAGUAGGGAGUAAGCCUAGCAUAAGUUUGUUUGCUUAUUUACUUGUUUGCGUGUUCCGUUGUGCGUUGAGCCAGCCCAGCCCUUUCAAUACUUUCGGAGUGAUAGUUUGGUGCGUGUCCUCGGAGGAAUAAGAAUAGGAAUAAGUAGAAGCCCUCGAGUGGCAUACUUUAACCAAGGAGUGUUGGGCUAAAGCUAGAGCAUAGGAAUUACAAGGGAAAGUACAAGAGCGAGACACCCCUCUAAUAGCUCUAACUCGAAAUAAGUAAUGAAACUCACGACUUCAACUCACACUCUGUAUUGGUAAAUAUCAAAUAAAUCCUCUAAACUAAAAGAAAGAAAUUAACUAGUAAUAAACAGAAUUGAACUGGGGGAUGCGAUACCUUAGCUAAAAACAAGGAAUCCAACACCGAGAAAAGGAAUGGGCCAAGCAAC
rnacentral:lncRNA from 1 species